UUUUAUCUAAACAUGUUCAAGGUGAAGAGUUGUAUUGAUAUUUAGCUUCACUAAAGUGAAUAGAAACAGCAAUAAUAAUAGCAAAAAUGUUAAAUUAGAAUCAGUUGUCAUCAUUAUCUCUCAUUGUGAAACCAAUAUCAAUCUAAAGAAACUAGAAGUUACAGUUUUGUUAACUUUUCUCAAUUUCAAUUAUGUUUACAUAUUAUGUUGUAGGAUUGCGA
rnacentral:misc_RNA from 1 species